rnacentral:rRNA from 1 species
CGGGGUGCAGCAGGCGCGAAAACUUUACAAUGCUGGCAACAGCGAUAAGGGGACCUCGGGUGCCAGGAUACAAUCUUGGCUGUCGUGAUGCCUAAAAAGCAUUACAUAGCAAGGGCCGGGCAAGACCGGUGCCAGCCGCCGCGGUAACACCGGCGGCUCGAGUGGUAACCGCUAUUAUUGGGUCUAAAGGGUCUGUAGCCGGCCGGAUAAGUCUCUUGGGAAAUCCAGCAGCUCAACUGUUGGGCUUCCAGGGGAUACUGUUCGGCUCGAGGCCGGGAGAGGUGAGAGGUACUUCAGGGGUAGGGGUGAAAUCUUGUAAUCCUUGAAGGACCACCAGUGGCGAAGGCGUCUCACCAGAACGGUCCUGACGGCAAGGGACGAAAGCUAGGGGCACGAACCGGAUUAGAUACCCGGGUAGUCCUAGCCGUAAACGAUACUCGCUAGGUGUCAGCCACGGUGCGACCGUGGUUGGUGCCGUAGGGAAGCCGUGAAGCGAGCCACCUGGGAAGUACGGCCGCAAGGCUGAAACUUAAAGGAAUUGGCGGGGGAGCACAAGGGCGAUUCGCG